GUUAGUGAACAAAAGUGCAUCAAAUAUGCAGUAGCAUGUGACAACAUUGUAAUAUUUCUAUGGAAACAACUAUGAAGGUAUUUUUUGGCAAAGUGUCAAACAAAUGUGUCAAUCUUUUUGAUAAUUUUAAAUCAUUUAUUGUAAAACAAUAAUGUUUUCGGCAAGUGAAUACUGCGACAUGUACUUGGUUUAUGGUGCAAGUGAAGGAAAUGCUUUAGAUGCGGUGAGACAAUAUGGCAUCCGAUAUCCCCAGCGACGACAACCAAGAAUUAAUGUUUUUCGACGACUCCAUCAGAGACUUCAGAUAAGAGAAAAUCGCACUCCGAUUCCGGAAUAUAAAGGAAUACUUCCUGGAAGGUCUCGCGUAAGAAGAACUGUUGAGACAGAGGAAGCAACAACUGAUGCGGUUACCAAAAAUCCAAGCAUCAGUUGUCAAGUUGGUAGACUGUUAAAUAUUCCGUUUAAAACAGUUAAUAGGGUGACGCGAGAUGAAAAGCUACAUCCAUAUCAUUAUACAAAAGUCCAGUAAACUUUAUUGCCAGCAGAUUACGAACGGAGAAUGGCUUUUGCUCAAUGGAUACUUGAUAAAGAUGUGGACUUUUUAAGAAAAAAUUUAUGGACUCAUGAAUCUUUAUUUACCAACAACGGAAUCUUUAAUAGACACAAACACCAUUAUUACGCAAUAAAUAAUCCAUUUUUGAAUUUUGAAACGGGACGUCAGCACAGAUUUUCGUUGAAGAAAAUCAUUUAUUGGGUGAUGUGCCUCUGGCAGUCAGAAUAGAAAUGUGACUACAAAUGGACGGUGCUGGUCCUCAUUACACUGUACCAGUUCGAAGAUGGUUUAACGAAAAUUACGAAAAUAGGUGGUUAGGCCGCGGCAGUGCUACUCCUUGGCCGGCUAGGUCUCCAGACUUAAAUCCUGUUGAUUUUUUUUAUGGGGCCAUGUCAAAGACAUUGUAUUUACUCCACCAGUGCCGUAAAAUCUAGCCAUUUUGCAAGAACGAGUUUUUGUAGCCUUUAACUCAGUUACUCCGGACAUGUUAGAACGUACCACAAAUUCUGUGCCGAAGCCUGCUUAUUAGCAAGUGGCAGAACAUUUCAACAUUUAUUAUAAAAUACAUUGUUUGUUUUUAAUUUUACUGUUUAUUAAAUUGUUUUGUUCUUAAA